rnacentral:lncRNA from 1 species
ACAGGAUAUACUGACUCUUGAUCAGAGGAAUUGAGAUCUAAAAAAGCUCCUUAAGUCACUGCUUUCAGCAGAAUGUCGAGGGCUGUACAGAGCACAGGGAGUCAUAGCCAUCGUUCUGAUAGAGUCAUCCAUCACCGUUGACUGCUUGCAGGGAAAAGUAUCCCAGGUUGUGUCUCACAAGAGCCUCAUGACACUAUGGUAUUAGAAGCCAAGCAGCAUCUGUGCCCUGAAUGUUACAAAAGCAUGCUGGAAUUUCGUAUUGUGCUUUAAGAGCUGACGACCGCAGUUGCUGCAGUGCCGCAUGUCUAGCUGCUGCUGGCUCCUUGGCAGGGUGCUUGUCUGGGGCUGCAAAGUUGUUGAGAAGCUGCAGGUGAAUUUGCCUUGGAAACAAGCACACAGGAUAUUUAGACUUUUUUGCAGUCAGCUGGGGAGACUUCCCCUGCCCAUCUUAUCAAGAGCAGGAGCAUGUAAAUGA